GGCGGCAUGCUUAACACAUGCAAGUCGAACGAGGGCAGCGAUGCCCUAGUGGCGGACGGGUGAGUAACGCGUAGGAAUCUACCCAGUAGAGGGGGACAACCUGGGGAAACCCAGGCUAAUACCGCAUGUGCUCGGGAGAGGAAAGCGGGGGAUCUUCGGACCUCGCGCUAGUGGAUGAGCCUACGUCCGAUUAGCUGGUUGGUGGGGUAAAGGCCUACCAAGGCGACGAUCGGUAGCUGGUCUGAGAGGACGAUCAGCCACACUGGGACUGAGACACGGCCCAGACUCCUACGGGAGGCAGCAGUGGGGAAUAUUGGACAAUGGGCGCAAGCCUGAUCCAGCAAUGCCGCGUGGGUGAAGACGGCCUGCGGGUUGUAAAGCCCUUUAGGCGGGGAGGAACGGCGUCGUGCGAACAGUGCGGCGCUCUGACGUUACCCGCGGAAUAAGCACCGGCUAACUCCGUGCCAGCAGCUGCGGUAAUACGGAGGGUGCGAGCGUUAAUCGGAAUUACUGGGCGUAAAGCGUGCGUAGGCGGAUGGGUC
rnacentral:rRNA from 1 species